rnacentral:rRNA from 1 species
AUGGAUGUCGCCGCUGUGGACAAGAAGAAGAAGGUGCUGCUGGCGGAGGGGCUGUUGCUCCCGGUGAGCAUGGUGCUGGUGCAGGCCUUCACCAUGGGAACCCUCAUCCUGUCCAAGCUUGCCUUCAACGUCGGUAUGGCGCCUUUUGUCCUCCUCGCCUACCGCAACCUCAUCGGUGCCAUCACCGUUGCACCCUUCGCCUUCUACUUUGAGAGGGAGAUGAUGAAAAAGGUGAACUUGAAGGUAUGGGGCUGGAUCUCCAUCAACGCUUUGUUUGGAAUUGUGCUAGCAAUGGGACUGCACUACUACGGCCUGCGCGCCACCAAUGCGGCCUACACUGUCAAUUUCCUUAAUGUGAUCCCUGUUGUCACCUUUAUCAUUGCUAUAAUACUCCGAGUAGAGCGGCUGAAGAUUGGCACAUGCCCAGGCAAGAUGAAGGUCAUCGGUGCGGCGAUUUGCGUGGGGGGGACCAUGGUGAUCAGCAUGUACAAAGGCAAGCUGCUGCAUCUCUGGCCUACCCACCUGCUGAAACCGCAGCUGCAGUCGGUUGGUGCGGCAUCCUCUGUCCCUGACCACCACAACAUGCUCAUCGGCACACUGUUCUUAGCCGGCAGCUGCCUCAGCUACGCCUUCUGGUUCAUCAUACAGGUUCGAGUGUCCAAGGAGUUUCCGUCCAAGUACUUCUCGACAAUGCUGGCGUGUGUGUCGGGGACCGUGCAAGCGGUGGUGAUCGGGGUCAUGCUCGACAGGCGUCCAAUGGCAUGGGCGCUCAAUUGGAAUCUGCAGCUGCUCACCGUCGUUUACUCGGGGGUGUUCAACACUGGCAUCACCUUUUGCUUGAUCUCGUGGGCCAUGUCUCGUCGCGGGCCAAUAUAUCCUUCCAUGUUCAACUCGCUGUCGCUGAUAAUCACCACGGUCCUUGAUUCGGUGCUGCUUGGGACCGAUGUGUCUGUGGGGAGCUUGCUGGGAGCGCUGCUGAUCAUCAUCGGGCUGUACGCAUUCCUCUGGGGGAAAGGGAAGGAAACGCAAGAGCAGCGCAAGCAAACCAGAGAGGCGGCGAACGGAAACGGGAGCGCGGCGGGUAAUGGGCUGGACAGCGUGCAGGUUGGGAAGCACGAGGUGCGAAUUCGCGUGGAAGUGAGCUAG